UACGUAGGGUGCAAGCGUUGUUCGGAUUCAUUGGGCGUAAAGGGUGCGUAGGCGGUCGGGUAAGUCGGAUGUGAAAUCCCAGGGCUCAACCCUGGAACUGCAUUCGAUACUGCCUGGCUAGGGUACUGGAGAGGAGACUGGAAUUUACGGUGUAGCAGUGAAAUGCGUAGAUAUCGUAAGGAAGACCAGUGGCGAAGGCGAGUCCCUGGACAGUUACCGACGCUGAGGCACGAAGGUCAGGGGAGCAAACGGG
rnacentral:rRNA from 1 species